rnacentral:rRNA from 1 species
GACGAACGCUGGCGGCGUGCUUAACACAUGCAAGUCGAACGGUGACCUCGAGAGCUUGCUCUUGAGUGAUCAGUGGCGAACGGGUGAGUAACACGUGAGUAACCUGCCCCAGACUCUGGAAUAACCCCGGGAAACCGGAGCUAAUACGGGAUACGAAGUAGAGCGGCAUGGCACCUACUUGGAAAGCUUUUCGGUCUGGGAUGGACGCGCGGCCUAUCAGCUUGCUGGUGAGGUAACGGCACACCAAGGCGACGACGGGUAGCCGGCCUGGGAGGGCGACCGGCCACACUGGGACUGAGACACGGCCCAGACUCCUACGGGAGGCAGCAGUGGGGAAUAUUGCACAAUGGGCGAAAGCCUGAUGCAGCGACGCCGCGUGAGGGAUGACGGCCUUCGGGUUGUAAACCUCUUUCAGCAGGGAAGAAGCGAAAGUGACGGUACCUGCAGAAGAAGCACCGGCUAACUACGUGCCAGCCGCCGCUGUAAUAC